UACGAAGGGGGCUAGCGUUGUUCGGAAUUACUGGGCGUAAAGCGCACGCAGGCGGAUUGAUAAGUCAGAGGUGAAAUCCUGGAGCUCAACUCCAGAACUGCCUUUGAUACUGAAGAUCUUGAGUUCGGGAGAGGUGAGUGGAACUGCGAGUGUAGAGGUGAAAUUCGUAGAUAUUCGCAAGAACACCAGUGGCGAAGGCGGCUCACUGGCCCGAUACUGACGCUGAGGCACGAAAGCGUGGGGAGCAAACAGG
rnacentral:rRNA from 1 species